CCUACGGGAGGCAGCAGUGAGGAAUAUUCGUCAAUGGACGAGAGCCUGAACCAGCCAAGUAGCGUGAAGGAUGACUGCCCUCUGGGUUGUAAACUUCUUUUAUAAAGGAAUAAAACGAGGCACGUGUGCCUUUUUGCAUGUACUUUAUGAAUAAGGAUAGGCUAACCUCGUGCCAGCCGCCGCGCUAAUAAGGAGGAUCCGAGCGUUAUCCGGAUUUAUUGGGUUUAAAGGGAGCGUAGAGGGGUUGUUAAGUGAGUUGUGAAAGUUUGCGGCUCAACCGUAAAAUUGCAAUUGAUACUGGCAGUCUUGAGUACAGUUGAGGUAGGCGGAAUUCGUGGUGUAGCGGUGAAAUGCGUAGAUAUCACGAAGAACCCCGAUUGCGAAGGCAGCUUACUAAACUGUGACUGACGUUGAGGCUCGAAAGUGUGGGUAUCAAACAGGAUUAGAUACCCCUGUAGUC
rnacentral:rRNA from 1 species